UGGUAGAGAUGGGUGUUGUUUCUUCUCAACAGGAACAUAUAUUCCUGGUGUUCCUGAUGUGCUCCUGAUGCCCACAUUACCUGGGUGGUGAACAUACCAGUGGAAUAGGUACUGCAGAUGCUCUAAGGAAACAGAGUAAUCCAAAGCAGCAAUGACUCCAGCUGAGGCACUCGUGGUAGCUGUCAGCCAGGAACAAAAUCCAUCACCUCUUCCCGGAGGGGCCACACCUGGGGUACCAAAGCUGUGCCACUGAGGGUGGGUGAUCCUUGCUGAAGGACAUGUGAAACUGUGCUCACAGAGGAUAUGGGUUGGUGACCAGUGGGUCGAGAGGAAGAUCAGGCUGACUGGUGGGUUUACUUGUCUCUCCUGUUUGCGUCUCCCUCAUUAAGUGAGCAGAUAGAUGAACAGUGACACCUUUAAAAUGUCUGUAUCCCUGCAAGUAAAUACAAAUGCUCCAAAACAUUGCUAUUCCUGCCCUCCCAUUUCUCCUUAGAAACAGUCUUUUAUGACUUUAUUAUGUGCUUUAGCCUGCUUCUAGCACAGUUUGCUUUCUAAUGUUCCACGUGAGAACCUCUGAGGGCAUGCUGAGAAUUGCUGUAGCUCUGGAGACAUAGAUGCUCUCGAUAAUUUGUUAAAAAAAAAAAUAGUGCUCUCCAUUUCCUGUUCCCAUUGUGGCCUCUUAAGCUCAACAAAGAGGAAUCUGAACACCAGUGCAAGAAAAUAAGAGUUAAUGUCUGAUAUAGUCUUGCCUGAAAUAUUCUGAGACAAAACUUUUCAAAAUAAAGUUUAUUGAUGCAAAGGAAAAGCCUAAAGAAAGUUGCUCUUCACAGCAUUUUACUACAGCGUCAGGAGGUGAUAAAAGUCAGAAGGACUUUUCAAAGGGCUUCAUAACUUGAAAGGAAAAGGUAUUGAGAAUAUUUAAUGUAGCUGUUAUGUUUGAACAUGGUUCAUUUAUGCCCAAACGCUAGUCUCCACUUCUCCACAAUCCCUGUAACUUCUAUAUGAUGAAAGGGCAUGCUGAACACCUAUAAAAUGUGCUGUUACAAUAUAGGCAAUUCUUCUGGAGAAUGACUACAAUUUCUUCAUUCAACACAGGUUAUAUAGCAAUCAGGGAAAUCAUAUUCCAUUCAUCUGGAAAGUUCUUAAAAAUUGGCAUCUAGCUGUAUAUUACUGGAGAAACUAAAAAAAAAUAAAAAAUAGAGUAACCUGCACUGAAGUAUAAUCGAAAACUUUGCUUGAUGCUUGUCUGUGGUCCAUAAAGCAGAUAUGCUGAAAUACGUAAUGGUCAAAAGUGUGAACCAGACAAAAACUAAAGGCUUUUGAGCAAGGCACCAGUGAGAUUCAUCUGGAAUAUGCCUGGCACACCUCACUGCAGAAGGAAAAUGCAAAACUAGUAGGGAUUCAAGGAAAGGAGGUAAAAUAAGAUUCUGGCUUGAAAAAAAAUAACAGAUUUGGUGAGCAAGGGACUAAAAAGAUGAGGACAGAUUACCCAGAAAAAGAG